UACGAAGGGGGCUAGCGUUGCUCGGAUUGACUGGGCGUAAAGGGCGCGUAGGCGGUUCGUACAGUCAGACGUGAAAUUCCUGGGCUCAACCUGGGGGCUGCGUUUGAUACGUGCGGACUUGAGUGCGGAAGAGGGUCGUGGAAUUCCCAGUGUAGAGGUGAAAUUCGUAGAUAUCGGGAGGAACACCAGAGGCGAAGGCGGCCACCUGGACGAACACUGACGCUGAGACGCGAAAGCGUGGGGAGCAAACAGG
rnacentral:rRNA from 1 species